CGGGGGGAGCAAGCGUUGUUCGGAUUUACUGGGCGUAAAGGGCGCGUAGGCGGCCAGCACAAGUCAGUUGUGAAAUCCCCGGGCUUAACUCGGAACGGUCAACUGAUACUGUGCGGCUAGAGUGCAGAAGGGGCAACUGGAAUUCUCGGUGUAGCGGUGAAAUGCGUAGAUAUCGAGAGGAACACCUGCGGCGAAGGCGGGUUGCUGGGCUGACACUGACGCUGAUGCGCGAAAGCCAGGGGAGCGAACGGGAUUAGAUACCCCGGUAGUCCUGACCUUAAACGAUGGAUGCUUGGUGUCUGGAGUUUUAUAGUCUCCGGGUGCCGUAGCUAACGCGUUAAGCAUCCCGCCUGGGGAGUACGGUCGCAAGACUG
rnacentral:rRNA from 1 species